rnacentral:rRNA from 1 species
GACGAACGCUGGCGGCGUGCCUAAUACAUGCAAGUCGAACGCACAGUUUAUACCGUAGCUUGCUUCACCAUAGGCUGUGAGUUGCGAACGGGUGAGUAACGCGUAGGUAACCUGCCUGGUAGCGGGGGAUAACUAUUGUAAACGAUAGCUAAUACCGCAUAAUAUUAAUUAUUGCAUGAUAAUUAAUUGAAAGGUGCAAUUGCACCACUACCAGAUGGACCUGCGUUGUAUUAGCUAGUAGGUGAGGUAACGGCUCACCUAGGCGACGAUACAUAGCCUACCUGAGAGGGUGAACGGCCACACUGGGACUGGGACACGGCCCAGACUCCUACGGGAGGCAGCAGGAGGGAAACUUCGGAAAUGGACGAAAGUCUGAACGAGCAACGCCGCGGGAGGGGAGGAGGGUUUCGGAUCGGAAAGCUCGGUUGUAAGAGAAGAAAGGGUGUGAGAGUGGAAAGUUCACACUGUGACGGUAGCUUACCAGAAAGGGACGGCUAACUACGUG